rnacentral:lncRNA from 1 species
GUCAUUCAGGUAACACCUGUGCUCGGUAGCUUGUGUGAUAGAUUUUUUAUUACAACAGUGGCAUUCGAGACAGCUUACAUGCACCUUGACUGAUUCACUAUGUAGCUGUCACCACCCAUCAGCACAGGUACCUUAGGCAGAUAACAUUUUUCUCGGAUUUGAACCCUAAGUUUUCAAGAUUUUCACCUGCUUCAUUAACGGCUGGGUCACACCUUUGGGUACUUGCGUUCUGGACAUUGUGAGUACUGAACACCAGCCGGGCAAUUGAUGUGCUAUAGAAAUAUAGCACUUUCGAUGCUCAAAACGAUAAAAAUAAGUAAGUUUCUUAGGUUGUUUUGUUAGAUAUGAUGUGUUUUGGGUAUGUUUUGCAGGAAACUAGGUUUUGGAUGCAAAUCUGAAGAAAAAGAAGAAAUUAAGUUUUUGGGUACAUACAAGGCAUUUUUGGGCGUAUAUGCUACUUGGCGGUGCAGAGACUAAGCUGCAGGAAUAAAAAAAAAACCCUCCCACUUACAAAGACCACAUACAGUCCGUAUGUGUAUGGGAGGAGAAGUCCAGAGAGUUACAAGUUCAGUUCCCGAGGCCUGGUACAUACAAAGUGCCACAUACGGAUAUGUGCCACAUACGGUCCGUAUGUGACCUUUGUCGGUGCAAAAGUGCAAAGUCCAGAGAGUUGCAGAAUCCAAGAUGGAAGGGUGGUCACAUAUGUAGGACCACAUAUGGUCCGUAUGUGCAACAUACGGUCCGUAUGUGACCUUUGUAAGUGGCCACCGAUUUCGUUUUCCCUAUUUUAUUCGGGAUUUGAUUUUUUAGGGUUUCCUUGUAUUCUAUAAAAAUACCCUAUUGACGUUUUGUAUUGAAUCGACACACUUCAUAUACUCACAAACAUAUAUUCUGAUUCUGAGAUCCAAAUUUGGUCUUGGAAUUACUUUGUAUUGAUUUUGGUUAUUAAUUCAGUUGAAGCUUUGGGCUUUUACUUGUUGAUUAUUGUGUGAUGAUUGAAUGUUUUCAUAUAUGAAUUCCUUUAAUCGUUGCACAACCAUGAGCGGCUAAUCUCCCUUAGCUAGGGUUGUGGGAACCCUGGCUAUAUAACGAAGUAGGGGAAGUGUCCAAUCCUUCUAGAUUAUUGUCGAUGCAUGUAUUGGGGUUUCCUUCGAGUCUAUUGUUGUCUUAACGGUUGCAACGUUAGGACCCAGCCUGUAUUCACUACAAACCCAAAAGGGAGGUAGAGAUUGGGAGAAGGAAAUCACAAUAGUGAUUUGGGGUUAACUGCCGAAAUAAGCUUGCUUGUAUUAUCUUCUUAAGCCAGUUAACUUCCAUCUAAUCAACUUGAGAUCGAGAGGAGAUAGUUGAAAUUGGGGUCCAAGGUAAGGGUUACUAAGGCGACACGUUGAGAUCAAGAGGAGAUGAGUAAGAUUCACCAACUGGUGCCAAGAGGCGGUUGGCGAUACCUAUCUUACCAGAUUCAACAUGCGCAAUAGUUGUACAGUUGGAUUGAGCACGAGAAGCUUACUGAGUUAGAGGCCAGGGAAAACACAAUCCUAGUAUUCGUUUACGACUGAAUUAUAACCACAUUGAUAUUUGUUACUUGUUCGAAAUUGUUCCUUCAACCCCCCACCCCCCACCCCCACACACAUUUACUUUUCCAGUUCUGGCCGUGAUCACAGCAGUUAAGAGCCACAAUUCCACGUAUUCCCUUGGGAUUCGACCCCAAUCUUUAUUGGGUUACUAUAUUUGACAACGACCGCAUAAUCUUCAGAUUGAAGGUUUAGCUUGAGCGUUAUCAAAUUUUGGCGUCGUUGUUGGGGAAUACAGUGUUGAGUUAUGAAUCAAAGUUGUUGCAGUUUGCGGGUAUUUGUGUUCUUGUUCUUAGUUGGGUAUACGCCGGUGUAUGUCUAGCACACGGAGUAGAGGCAAUCCCUUCUGAAUCUGAAUCCAGAAAGGAUCCUACAAACGCCUAGUAGAAUGACAGAGCCGAAGAGAGAUGAUAUUCUUGAAGGGGUUCAUGAUGGCGCACACCAGGUGCCUCCCCUCCUCCUGAGGAGUUCAGGACAUUAUUGACCCACAGUUGUUAGCACAAGCUGCUAAUCAGAGGAGGGAAGAAGAUGCUCAAUGCAUAGCUCGGGAGGCAGAGCUAGCUGUGCAUAGACCGAAAGCAGACUGCCGAGCAGCACUCGAUGGUAAUCAAAACCGAGUUAGAGGUGGCCGAGCUCAAGUGAUCCCAACAUACCAGUAUUUGCAGCCAUAUGAGGAUGAUGAUGAGGAUCUGGGGUACGUUGAGCCGGCAAAAACUGGAGCUAUCAUACCUCUUAUUUUGCCCCAGGUGUUAAGUUUGACAUAACUAGUGCAGUUCUUUAACUUGAAGAGUGCCCACUGAUGAAGCAUAUAUGCACCUUGCAAAUUUCAUUAGGAUCUGCAAUUCAUACACAAACCCAGGGGUGAAUCAGGAGGCGCUUAGAUUGAGGUUGUUCCCUUUCCGCUUACAGGAGAAGCAUCUUUAUGGUUAGGGGAACUUUCGAGAGGAUCUAUCACUACAUGGAAUGAGUUGCGCAGGCAAUUCUUGAACCAGUUCUUUCCUCCAUCCUGGAUGUUGCAGCUUAAGGACAAGAUUUAUAAUUUCAGGCAAUUGCAGUUUGAGUCUAUGUACGAGAAUUGAUUUAGGUUCAAGAAGAAGCUGAGUAUGGUGUCCAACCAUCGGAUUUCAAGGACAAGCUUAUUGGAGAUAUUCUACAGAGCCCUGACCAUCAGUUCCGGAGCCAUGACAAACAUCAUCUCUGGAGGAGUUUUUAUAAGACUACGCUGGGAGGUAGCCUCGGAUAUUCUAGACCAAAUUUCUCUCACUAAUAGAGUGUGGCAAACUCGAGAGGCUGAAAGAGGUUCUGGCACUUAUGCUAUUGGUGCCUCCAGUGACCAGAGAGUAGAUGAUUCAAUAGCGCAAGAAAUUGCACUGCUAAGGACUGAUCUUGGGUUGGCUAAGCAGUUUACGGCAGCGAGUUUCGAGAAAAUGAAUGCAGUAGGAGCACAAGGUUCAGCUUCCAAAGCUUAUGAGUCUGAAUUAGAAGAGGCUAAGGACCUAGAUUGUCAGUUAGCGGGUUUCUGAGCCCAAGGACAAGAAAACCAAGGUCGGAACUAUUAUGGUGACAAGUACAGAGGCCGUAGUAAGGAGCGAGAUGAUGAUUGGAGACGGAAAGACGACUAUAAGACGACUAUAAGGAAAGGGGAGAUAGGUACAUUCAGCUUGGCAGUCGAGAUACAGAAUUGAGAACGGAGGCGAUGUUGACCAAACUGGUGAAGGGACAAGAGAGUCAGGAGGCUACCAUUAAGGAAAUCAAGGCGGAUAUUUCAAGUUUGACCCAAAAGGUCGAGUCACAUGCAACUACUAUCGAGCAGUCAGAGCACCAGUUCGGGCAGAUGUCGGCCACUUUAACCUUCCAAGUAACACAGUUCAAAAUCCGAAGAACGAUAGCCACUGUCUUGCUAUUACCACUCGGAGUGGUAAAUCUACUGUGGAUCCCCCGUUGCCUGCUGUGGGUGAGUUGAAAGAUGAUAGCACUGUGAUUGUUGACACUCCUGUUGUGGAGUUAAACCCGACAACAGGUGUUAGGUUAGCGCUGGUGAGGGCACAGAUAAUGGUAAGGUCGUUGAGCCGAAAGUUAGACAAAUCCCACGACCACCACCACCUUUUCCUCAAAGACUGAAGCAGAAGAGAGAGGAAGGUAAGUUCAAGCGAGUCAUUGAGAUGCUAAAAGAGUUGAGCUUGAACAUCCCUCUUCUUGAGGCGUUGGAGCAAAUGUCUGGAUAUGACAGGUUUAUGAAGCAAUUGGUUACGAAGACGAAAGGGGCUACUUUUGAGGACGUCGGUGGACUUCACCACUGUAGUGCAGUUACGCCUAAGUCUCUGGCUCAGAAAAGGGGUGAUCCCAGCGCAUUCACUAUACCAUGCAACAUUGGGUCAUCCAGAUUUACCAGAGCUUUAUGUGACUUAGGAGCCAACAUAAACUUGAUGUCGCUGGCUAUAUUCAAGCAAUUGGGCUUGAGCCCUCCUGAACCAACUACGAUGCGGUUGUUGAUGGCUGACCGCACCGUGAAGACCUGUGGGCAUUUCUUUUGAUGUGAUAGUGAAAGCCGAUAACUUCAUCUUUCCAGCUGACUUUGUCAUUCUAGAUUAUGAGGUUGAUGUCGAGAUACCCAUCAUAUUGGGGAGACCAUUUAUGGACACAAGUAGAGCUAACAUGGAGAAAAAGGAUUUGAAGUUUAGAGUUAAUGGUGAAGAAGCCACUUUCAAGGUCUGAAAAACGAUUAAACAGCCUACCGACAUGAGAGUGUUGUCAGUUAUUGAUUGUAUUGAUGACCUAGGAGGGUACUCUUUUGGGUAUCUUGAUGAAUUUUGAGUAGUCAAGGUACCCACGUCGUGCCACGACAUUUAAUCAAGCGUUGCAUGGGAGGCAACCCUGGGCUUGUUGGUAAAGUCUGAGUAACCAACAUAGCCACGUCGUGCUGCAACGUUAAAUCAAGCGCUGGGUGGGAGGCAACCCACUAUUUAGUGUUCACUUUGUUUUGUUUUUGUAAGUUCAUAGCUUAAGAGGAAAGGCUUGGAAUGCGGUAAAAAUUGUAAAAUUCAUCAUCUUCCAAGUAAGGGGGACUCGGUGACCAAUUCAUCAAGGUCAUAAGUCCCACAUAGGCAGGUAAGUUAUGCUUAAAUUGAAAAGAUAGAAUUUUGAGAGUUUUUCUAGGGAAGUGAGGUUAAGAUGGUUUGGUCAUGUGAUGAGGAGGGGCACGAAUGCCCCAGUUCGUAGGUGUGAGCGGUUGGCCUUGGAUGGCUUCAAGCAGGGUAGGAGUAGGUCGAAGAAAUACUGAAGAGAAGUGAUUAAACGUGACAUUGAGCAGUUACAGUUAACUGAGGACAUGACCCUGGAUAGGAAGAUAUGGAGGAAUAGCAUUAGGAUAGAGGGUUAAGGGUGUGGUUGAGACGUUGUCAUUAUUUAGGGGACUUUGGGGUCUUGUGUUUGGCAACGUACAAUUUUCUGUGGAUGUCGUACCGUUGUUAUUUUAUUGUGUACUAGGAUUUUCAUGCUUUUGUAUGCUAUCUUCUAACUUGAGCUGGGGGUGUAUCGGAAACAGCCUCUCUACCUCUUUAGAGGUAGUGGUAUGGACUGCGUAACUCUACCCUCCCCAGACCCCACUAUGUGGGAAUAUACUGGGUAUGUUGUUGUUGUUGUUUCUAGGGAAUUUCUGGACUUGAACAACAACAACAACAACAAACAACCCCGUAUAUUCCCACAUAGUGGGGUCUGGACUUGAACCUACGAAAAUAUUUGCAGGACCAUAAAUAUCAUUUACGACCUUGCAAGUAGCAAAAUAAGUGUUAAAACACAAAGUCCAGAGAGUACGGAACUUGGGCCCACCAAUGCCUAAUUAAACCCUAUGCCAGCCUCCCCUCUUUAUUUAAGCCCUAUUUACUCAUUCUUCACUUACAAAACUCUCAAAAUUCCUCUUCAUUCUUAAAAAAUCAAACUCCCUCUCAAAUUUAAAACUACCCACGUUCCCACUCAUAAGUAAAGGCUAAAUUAAUACUUGUUCGAGGUACCAACUUGUCCUAAGGCAUUAAAUACAAGUUCAAUCUUGGAUUUUGCUUCACUUCUUCAUAGUCUUCCCGGUCUCUCAAAGAAAAGGCAACUUUCUUGGCUCCUAAUAUAGUAUUUUGAUCUAAAUGAUAAACAAGUAAGUUGAUAUGUUUAUUUCAAUGCAAAAUAUGUAGAAACUAUCAUGCUUAUAUGUGGGAGCUUUGAAGUAGCCUAAAAUUUUAAUAUAGGGCUUUGUUCUUGAGUUAAACUCUAAGAUUAGGCCCUAAACGGAAGUUGAACUUGAACAAGUAGAGGAAUACCAAAAGUUUGGCAUGUUAGUUUGAAUUGAAAAAUAUGAUUAGUAGUAUAUGUGUGCACAUUGGACAUGUUGGGACUGCGAAUAAGUUAUAGGGAUGUGAAAAUUGACGAAAAAUUCAAAGUUUUCGAAUUUUGAGUUUUUCUUCAACUUUUGUGGUCCCUCAUUAUUUGUUGAAUGCUAACACUCGAUUUUUCACGUACACAUGGCUCCUAAAGAUUCAAAGAAGAAAGCCCCAACAUCUAGACGACAGGUUGACUCUCCUGAGAGUAGUAGCUCGGAGGAGUUAUACUCACUAGCCUAGACUAGAGCAGCUCGGACCAAAGCAGCCCUGACCAAGACAACAGGACCAAUGACUAAGGGUAAGAGGCAGGCUGCUGUUGAGGCUAUUAUUAUGGACAAAAUGGGUGUACAGAUUGUAAAGAAAUCACAGUGGGGCAAGCGGCCAGCUUCUACUCGGCCUAUGACAAAGGCUGAAGGCUAUUGAGUUCCUAGGUUGGUCGAGGAUGAAGACAACCCAGACAUCACCACCACACCCUCCCAGUUUGAUGAGGGAGAUGAUGAGGAAGAGAAGGAGGCAGAUUCUAAGUCAGCACCAGCAGCGGUUACAAAGGAUCCUCGGUCUGAGGAAGGGUCCCAAGAUGAGUGAUGCAACAGAUGAAGAGUCAUCAUCAGCACAGUACCCUAGUCUGAGGAGGGUACCGAUCAGGCUUCCCGCCAGGUGCCAGCUUCUGAUUCACAGGCACCAGCUCAGCAGGGUCAAACUUCGACCCCACGCACAUCUCGGAUGAGCCUAUUGAUGAGGUGCACCCGAGGUGGUGUGUGGAGGGCCUUCGAACUAUAUUUGAGCGGGACAACAGUAUUUUGAGAGAGACCGGCCGGCCCAAGAGGGUCAUUUAUGAGGAAAGACAAAUUGACUUAUCGGGGUUGGCCGGAGCACCACAACUGCGGGCAAGUUUUGAGCGAUAUCAGCUAGGGUGGAUGACCUGUACCCUAGGUACUUACAGCCCGACAUUGAUACGGGAAUUCUACGCAUUAUACCAUGCCACUUUGGCUUUGACUGCACCCAAGAGGGUUAUUUCGAUGCAACUUGAUCAACCACAGCUUGAGCAAACACUAGUUAGAGGGGUUAUGGUUGACAUAUCAACGGUGGCCAUCCGUCAAGUUCUCUUUGAGCCAGACUAUGUUGUGCCAGCAUCCACAGCAGAGUGUGAUUACAGAUUGCGAGUUGCACGAGAGAGUAGAGAUGGUGACAUGAAUCGUUGGAUAUAUUUCACCUCUGGGUGUUGAGACCCCUUGGAUUAAGGGGCACGGUAUGAUAAAAAAGGCAGCACUGACAUUUGCUGCGAAGUUCUGGAGGUUGUUGGUUCGAUUUAGAUUGUGUCCGACUGUUGCGGACAAUGCAUUGACUUGGGAUGGAGCUGCUCUUGUUGCUAGUAUGAUGGCCGGAUAUGACAUUGAUUAUGCAGCUAUUAUCCAGCAUGAGAUUCACGAGAGAGCUUUCGGUGGGAUGACAACUCUGCCAUUCCCAUUUCUGGUCCAGAGACUAUGCGAUGAGGCCGGUGUGCCUGAUAUUCCGAGAGUUGAUGUGAGAAUACAGACGACAACCAGAGCACAUACUAGGUAGAUGAAGGAUGCGGCACGUAUGCCUAUUAUAGUACCUCCGGCCCAGUCUAAGGGCCCAUCAGUACCUACAGAGUCUAUUGAGACACAAGGAGGUGAUGUGGGACUUAGUGAUGAUCUUGAGAUGGGGGAGCAGAAAGAGGCCCCCGAUUUGAGCACUCAGGGUGAGGGGACACCAGCUACUUCUACAUCAGCCCUAGUUUCCGCUUUAGAGCCGGUGGGUGCAUCUUCAAUGCCCCCUCGCCCUUCCACUACAGGUACUGCUUCAGGUAUGACUAUUGUAUCUCAUGAGUUUUUUCAGGGCUUAUUGAACAGUCAGAGAGCCACCGAAGCUAGGUUACGAAAUGUUGAGACCGAGGCGACUACUCUACAUGGGCAGAUCCGGCAAUGGGUCCGGACUAGACUAGAGACGAAAGAGACUAGAUGAGAUGUUGCACACAAAGCUGCAAUGUCAGAGUCACGUGCUGACUUACAAGCACGUAUUGAUGCUUUCGAGAGACGUGUUGCAGAUUGAUUUGUAGAGAUUGAGAUGUCGGAUCAAGGACAUAUGAGGGAGGAGGUGGAUAUCUUGCGAGCAAAGGUAUGCUUUUUGAUAGAGAGUCAUAUGACAACCACCCCUCCAGUCAUUCAGAAAUCACCUCCGCGCGGGCCCAAUCGCUUUGAUUUAUUUGCGGAGGAUGAGGAGGUCCCCGUAGUUGGGACCAAGAGAGGUCACGUGGGGGACCUGCAGGAUCCUAGUGGUCCAUAUGACCAGACACUGAAAACGGCCAGACAUGAGUCCGUGGAGACUGAUUUUAUUGAUCGACAGAGGCAAGCUAAGCUAACAGCAGGUGCAUAUUCUAGUAGUGCACCACCGACACCAUCGCCUCCACCAGUGGAUAUACCUCCAUCUGAGGAAGAUCAUGACACGGACCCCUAGUGCGUCCCAGGUAUGUCCUCAUUCCCUUUGUUUUAUAUUAUUUUAGUACAUUGAGGACAGUGCGCAAUCUUUUAGCUGGGAGUGAGGUAUACCAUAGCCGCCGCAGGUUUUUGUUAUCGUGCUUCUUUUCCUAUCGGCCGCGGUACGAUAGUAGAACCGACAUGUCUAGGUUAAAAUCUGUGUCGUAUUGUGUUUUGUUUCAUAUUGUGCUGUGUUUUUGUGUAAUUAGGAGAUUUUUAAGUAUUUAGGGCAGUUGUCAUGUUUUUUGUUGAUUUUGAGAAAAAUGAUACCCCUUCAAAAAUGUGUUUUUAGAACUGUGUGAAUGUAUAAAUGUGUGACCAUUGUGGAUCUUGUUAUGGCAUUUGGAUUAGGGACAUGAUAAUCACUUGCUAACAAUUGCAUGAACCAGAUAGGUAGUAGCUUGUAAUAUUGACUCUGUGUCGUGUAUGUGAGAUACUGCUUAGUUCCCUUUGUGUGUUAAAUCUAAAACUUGCCCGAUUAAUCUUUCCUAGGUUGUAGGAUAGUUGGUUAGGAAAGGAUCAUAGGUCGUUUUUUAUGUUGGUCCAAUUUUAGCCUAAAUGACCUUCCAUGUGUGAAUUAUAUAUCCCUUGAUCCUUAUUUUUUAGCCUAUAUAGUCUAUUUUUCUUUUUACACCUUUCACCUUCCCAUUUAUGUUACAAUAAACCCUAUGUGGGCCCUGUUCCUCCUUGGACAUUUUUACACCUCAACGCAGGCAAAUCGCCUAAGUUGAGGGUGGCUAUCAAAGGGGUGUGUAAUGCAAAGUGGAUAUAUCGAAGGGUAAAAUAAGAGGAAAAGAUCGUAGGGUUGAGUGUGGUAGAUAAAGAAAAAAAAGAAAAGAAAAAUUAUGAAAAUGUGAAAAAGAAAGAAUAAAGACCAAACCCAACCUGAAUGUGCAAUAAAGAAUAAAAAGGGAGAAAUACGGGUGGAAUAAAAAGGAAACUGGUUAAAGUGUGGACCCCUAAGUUAGUGUAGUGCCAAAGAGGCUUAGUCACUUGAUAUAUCCAUAUGUACCAUACCAGCCCGUCAAGCCUAUAUUAUAAGCUGAAUAAAGUCCUAUAAUGAUCCUAACUUGACUGUCCGAAAACUAAGGUAAAGAAAAUAAGAACAAGCCUAUGGUAUUUGAUACACAUUGAUUGGAACUUCUUUUUUUAGUGUGAUUGUCUCUUGACUGUCCUUGCAUUAACAUGCAUUAUUUCAUAUGAGUGAGAGGGACUUAUGAGUCAUAUUUCUAGCUGCUUACUAGUUUGGGUAGUGUAUCUUGAAUAUAUGCAUGGUUGUCUGUUGCUAAUAUAAUGUCAUAGCUUGAUCCCCUUGUGUCACAUUGUUGUGCUUCAUGUUUAUACACAGUUGGUUUUGAAAGGUUAAAAGGGAAAGGGUAAUGUGUUUUGAGCUUUAAGUGUUGAUUGAAUGCCUUGGAUAGCUUAGAUUCUCCUAGUUAAGUGUCGUGUUUUGUUUUGUUUUAUUGUGUUGCCUGAAGACAUACAAACGUUCUAAGUUGAGGGUGUUGAUAUGCUAUAGAAAUAUAGCACUUUUGACGCUUAAAACGAUGAAAAUAUGCAAGUUUCUUAGGUUGUUUCGUUAGAUAUGAUAUGUUUUGGGUAUGUUUUGCAGGAAACUAGGUUUUAGAUGCAAAUCAGAAGAAAAAAAAAAUUUGAAGUUUUUAGGAACAUACAAAGGCAUUUUUGGGCAUAUAUGCUACAUAAUUGGCGUAUGUGAGCAGAGUAUGUUGAAGAACUGAAAGUCCAGAGGCUAAGCUGCAAGGAAAAAAAGCAAACCCUCCCACUUACAAAGACCACAUACGGUCUGUGUGUGCCACAUAAGGUCCGUAUGUGGCCAACGUAUGUCCUGGGAGGAAAAGUCCAGAGAGUUGCAAGUUCAGUUCCUGAGGCUUGAAACAUACAAAGUGCCAUAUACGGUCUGUAUGUGACCUUUGUCGGUGCAAAAGUGCAAAGUCCAG